AGAGUUUGAUCCUGGCUCAGAACGAACGCUGGCGGCAGGCCUAACACAUGCAAGUCGAACGCCCCGCAAGGGGAGUGGCAGACGGGUGAGUAACGCGUGGGAACAUACCCUUCGGUUCGGAAUAGCUCAGGGAAACUUGGAUUAAUACCGGAUACGUCCGUAAGGAGAAAGAUUUAUCGCCGAAGGAUUGGCCCGCGUCUGAUUAGCUUGUUGGUGAGGUAAUGGCUCACCAAGGCGACGAUCAGUAGCUGGUCUGAGAGGAUGACCAGCCACAUUGGGACUGAGACACGGCCCAAACUCCUACGGGAGGCAGCAGUGGGGAAUAUUGGACAAUGGGCGGAAGCCUGAUCCAGCUAUACCGCGUGAGUGAUGAAGGCCUUAGGGUUGUAAAGCUCUUUUACCCGGGAAGAUAAUGACGGUACCGGGAGAAUAAGCCCCGGCUAACUUCGUGCCAGCAGCCGCGGUAAUACGAAGGGGGCUAGCGUUGUUCGGAAUUACUGGGCGUAAAGCGCACGUAGGCGGAUUUUUAAGUCAGGGGUGAAAUCCCGAGGCUCAACCUCGGAACUGCCUUUGAUACUGGGAAUCUUGAGUCCGGGAGAGGUGAGUGGAACUGCGAGUGUAGAGGUGAAAUUCGUAGAUAUUCGCUAGAACACCAGUGGCGAAGGCGGCUCACUGGCCCGGUACUGACGCUGAGGUGCGAAAGCGUGGGGAGCAAACAGGAUUAGAUACCCUGGUAGUCCACGCCGUAAACGAUGGAUGCUAGCCGUUAGACAGCUUGCUGUUUAGUGGCGCAGUUAACGCUUUAAGCAUCCCGC
rnacentral:rRNA from 1 species